rnacentral:tRNA from 1 species
AGUUUUAUAUUCAACUAUGAUUUUAAAUUGCAAAUUUAAAGGUAAAUAUUUUUAUUUUGAAACUU